AGACUUUGAUUCUGGCUCAGGACGAACGCUGGCGGCGUGCUUAACACAUGCAAGUCGAACGGUCUACCUCGACAGAAACCUUCAGGUUGAAGACGAGAUCUAGAUAGUGGCGGACGGGUGAGUAACACGUGAAUAAUCUGUCCUCAAGUCUGGGAUAACCUGGCGAAAGUCGGGCUAAUCCGAGGUAAGCUGAGAGUGUGGCAUCACACAAUCAGAAAAGGUGCUUUGGCAUCGUUUGAGGAGGAGUUCGCGGUAGAUUAGCUAGCUGGUGAGGUAAUGGCUCACCAGGGCAACAAUCUAUAGCUGGUCUGAGAGGACGAUCAGUCACACUGGAACUGAGACACGGUCCAGACUCCUACGGGAGGCAGCAGUGGGGAAUCUUCCACAAUGGGCGAAAGCCUGAUGGAGCAACGCCGCGUGAGUGAAGAAGGUCUUAGGAUUGUAAAGCUCUGUCCUUAGGGAAGAACCGUGGGUAUAGUAAAUGCUACCCACCUGACGGUACCUUUGGAGGAAGCACUGGCUAACUACGUGCCAGCAGCCGCGGUAAUACGUAGAGUGCAAGCGUUGUCCGGAAUUAUUGGGCGUAAAGGGUAC
rnacentral:rRNA from 1 species